rnacentral:lncRNA from 1 species
GCCAGUGUCUCCGCCGGUUGAAAGCGCGUGUCUGCGUCGGGUUCUGUUGGAGUGCGUUCGGUGCGCCGUGGGUCCGCGCUGCUUCCACCCAACUUCCUGUUAGUUUCUCUCCUGUCACAAUGGCAUGAUCUCGGCUCACUGCGACCUCUGCUUCCUGGGUUCAAGGAUUCUCCUGCCUCAGCCUCCCAAGUAGCUGGGAUUACAGUUUCCAUCAUUAUCUUCUAUGGAGUUCUUCAUUCCCACAUCUGUGGACCUUAAAAUCCUACCGUUGAGUGCCUGCCUUGGAUCAGCAGUCAGUUCGUUACCUUGGUUCUCAGACGAUGCUUGCAACAACGCCAUGCGAUUCGCCCACUCUUGGGUUACAUUAGUUAUACACUCUGGAGGUGACUUGACCUGUCAUUGUGAACAAUUAUUGCUCUUGGACGACCCAGGACAUAGGCCAGCCAGUACGUACCCCAGUGUGUUGGAGAAUCGCGCUCGGCUUCUUCCUCUGUGCUGAGUCAUGAAAGUUGCCGGAGCAGGUGCAGUUACACAACCUCCAGGUAUGAUCCUGUUUAAGGACUGGAUUUAGGAUAACUACUUAGAGGUUAAAAGUCACAAGGGUGUAUGGAUGAGGCUGGAGUGAUCUGGGACCAAAGACAUCUAGGCUUGCUGUCAAGGCUUCUGAUCAACAUGAGAUGACCGCCGUGUGGUAAACUGAUGAACCCUGACCCUGAUCAACAUGAGAUGACCGCCGUGUGGUAAACUGAUGAACCCCGACCCUGAUGAACGUGAGAUGACCGCCGUGUGGUAAACUGAUGAACCCCGACCCUGAUGAACGUGAGAUGACCGCCGUGUGGUAAACUGAUGAACCCCGACCCUGAUGAACGUGAGA